rnacentral:rRNA from 1 species
GACAGAGGAUGCAAACGUUUGCUCGGAAUUACUGGGCGUAAAGCGCACGUAGGCGGAUACUUAAGUUAGGGGUGAAAUCCCAGAGCUCAACUCUGGAACUGCCUUUAAUACUGGGUAUCUCGAGUCCGGAAGAGGUGAGUGGAAUUCCGAGUGUAGAGGUGAAAUUCGUAGAUAUUCGGAGGAACACCAGUGGCGAAGGCGGCUCACUGGUCCGGUACUGACGCUGAGGUGCGAAAGCGUGGGGAGCAAACAGG